GAUGAACGCUGGCGGCGUGCCUAACACAUGCAAGUCGAGCGAUCUUCUUCGGAAGCGCGCGGCGGACGGGUGAGUAACGCGUGGGUAACCUGCCCUGUACACACGGAUAACAUACCGAAAGGUAUGCUAAUACGAGAUAAUAUACUUUUAUCGCAUGGUAGAAGUAUCAAAGCUCUGGCGGUACAGGAUGGGCCCGCGUCUGAUUAGCUAGUUGGUAAGGUAACGGCUUACCAAGGCGACGAUCAGUCGCCGACCUGAGAGGGUGAUCGGCCACAGUGGAAAUGAGGCACGGUCCAAACUCCGACGGGAGGCAGCAGUGGGGAAUAGUGCACGAUGGGCGACAGCCUGAGGCAGCAACGCCGCGUGAGCGAUGAAGGGCUUCGGGUCCGAAAGCUCUGUCCUCAAGGAAGAUAAUGACGGUACUUGAGGAGGAAGCCCCGGCUAACUACGUGCCAGCAGCCGCGGUAA
rnacentral:rRNA from 1 species